rnacentral:rRNA from 1 species
GAUGAACGCUAGCGGCAGGCCUAAUACAUGCAAGUCGAACGAGAUUACGAGGCUUGCUUCUUAUGAAAGUGGCGCACGGGUGCGUAACGCGUAUGCAACCUACCUUAAUCAGGGGGAUAGCCCGAAGAAAUUCGGAUUAAGACCGCAUAAAAACACAGGAUAGCAUUAUCCAAUGUUCAAAUAUUUAUAGGAUUAAGAUGGGCAUGCGUGUCAUUAGCUAGUUGGCGGGGUAACGGCCCACCAAGGCGACGAUGACUAGGGGAUCUGAGAGGAUGACCCCCGACAGUGGUACUGACAAACGGACCAGACUCAUACGGGAGGCAGCAGUAAGGAAUAUUGGACAAUGGAGGGAACUCUGAACCAGCCAUGCCGCGUGCAGGAAGACAGCCCUCUGGGUCGUAAACUGCGUUUAUUAGGGAAUAAACCUUUCUACGUGUAGGAAGCUGAAGGUACCGAAGGAAUAAGGAUCGGCUAACUACGUG